AUUUAUAAGUGGUUUAUAAGAUGUUCAUUUGCCAUUCCUCUAACAUUGUCGCAUCAUUAACACGACAGUUAAAGGUUCUGCUCCUCAUUAACACAACCGUUAAAGGUUCUGCUCCUCAUUAACACGACAGUUAAAGGUUCUGCUCCUCAUUAACACAACCGUUAAAGGUUCUGCUCCUCAUUAACACAACAGUUAAAGGUUCUACUCCUCAUUAACACAACAGUUAAAGGUUCUGCUCCUCAUUAACACAACAGUUAAAGGUUCUGCUCCUCAUUAACACAACCGUUAAAGGUUCUGCUCCUCAUUAACACAACAGUUAAAGGUUCUGCUCCUCAUUAACACAACAGUUAAAGGUUCUGCUCCUCAUUAACACAACAGUUAAAGGUUCUGCUCCUCAUUAACACAACCGUUAAAGGUUCUGCUCCUCAUUAACACAACAGUUAAAGGUUCUGCUCCUCAUUAACACAACAGUUAAAGGUUCUGCUCCUCAUUAACACAACAGUUAAAGGUUCUGCUCCUCAUUAACACAACAGUUAAAGGUUCUGCUCCUCAUUAACACAACAGUUAAAGGUUCUGCUCCUCAUUAACAAUACAGUUAAAGGUUCUGCUCCUCAUUAACAAUACAGUUAAAGGUUCUGCUCCUCAUUAACAAUACAGUUAAAGGUUCUGCUCCUCAUUAACAAUACAGUUAAAGGUUCUGCUCCUCAUUAACACGACAGUUAAAGGUUCUGCUCCUCAUUAACACAACCGUUAAAGGUUCUGCUCCUCAUUAACACAACAGUUAAAGGUUCUGCUCCUCAUUAACACAACAGUUAAAGGUUCUGCUCCUCAUUAACACAACAGUUAAAGGUUCUGCUCCUCAUUAACACAACAGUUAAAGGUUCUGCUCCUCAUUAACACAACCGUUAAAGGUUCUGCUCCUCAUUAACACAACAGUUAAAGGUUCUGCUCCUCAUUAACACGACAGUUAAAGGUUCUGCUCCUCAUUAACACAACCGUUAAAGGUUCUGCUCCUCAUUAACAAUACAGUUAAAGGUUCUGCUCCUCAUUAACACAACAGUUAAAGGUUCUGCUCCUCAUUAACAAUACAGUUAAAGGUUCUGCUCCUCAUUAACACAACAGUUAAAGGUUCUGUUCUAGGAGUUGUAAUGAUGAAUAGUUUUUCUUUUAUCUCCCACUCCUUCUCUUCCUCCCUCUCUUUAUUCCUUUCUCUCCCCUGCCUCUUCACCCCCUCUUCCUCAUGUCUCUCACCCCCUCUUCCUCAUGUCUCUCACCCCCUCUUCCUCAUGUCUCUCACCCCCUCUUCCUCUCCGCUGGAAGGUAGUGUCUGCUGGGAUCACACACUUCAUGAGAGGGAGAGAGAGAGAGAGAGAGAGAAAGGGAGAAAGGGAGCUAGAGAGAGAAAGGGAGUGAGAGAAAGAGAGAGAGAAAAAGAGAGAAAGGGAGAGAAAGAGAAAGGGAGAAAGGAGAGAAAGGGAGAGAGAGAGAAAGGGAGAAAAAGAGAGAAAGGGAGAGAGAGAAAGCAUUUCCUCAGCGUGAGCUAUAGUGAGAUAAGACCGAGAGAGGGAGAGAUAAGGGCGGAAGAUGGGAGGAGGAGAGGGGGAAUGGGGGAAGAUUGAUGAAUGCACUGCACACUCAGGCUCCUGGAGCGAGGGGGGGGCAGACAGGGAGGAGGACGGGUGGAGAAAGAGGAGAGAGAUAGAGACGGGGUAGAGAUGGAUUGAGAAAGAGGCUGAUUGACUGGCAAGGAGAAGAAGGGCUGUUCUUAUCCUUUCAACAAAGUAAUAAUCUGAGGGACAGUGUGUGUGUGUGUGUGUGUGUGUGUG